AAUCGCGAUUUUGGCAUCGGCGGAGCCGAGACGGUCGCGAGUGAGCACUUUAAAGGGCGACAAGGCGGUACUUAGACCGUGGAUCGUCGACACGUCGAGAUAUCGGCACGAGGAGGCGUGUCGUGCAUCGGAACCAUGCGUGACAUAUGAGACAGCGCGGCACGAGGCCAGCGACGAGGAGGGAAGAAACAAUCGCCCCUCGCCAAACAGCCGGCGUCGGGCGCCCCGUCAUGAGGCCUCGCGUUGGGAUGUCGCUGAGUCGGACGUUAGCGUUGAUCGCGCUGCUCUGCGUGCUCAGUGCCAGUCCGGUCCAACCGCGCUCGUUCAGCAGCUGCAAGAGCCUGUGCAACAUCGACAAGGGGCGCGGUGUCUGCCUGGUGAGCUAUAAACGGCACCCAUAAAGCAGUUUCCACCACCUUCCCUCGUCGCGCGCUGCCCCACCCGUUCCCGCGGACCCCACGACCGACAUCGCCCCGCUGACUCCGAACAUUGCACGCAUCGAUGAUUAAUAUCCCGCAGGAGGACG
rnacentral:lncRNA from 1 species